GAGCCUCCUGAGAAGACCAGCUCCAGGGGGUCACUGGGCUGUGACAGCUGGAGGGGGGAGGAGCUGUUUGAGCUGUAGCACCUGUAAGUC